CAACGGCGAGAGAAGCUCGGCUGGGAUUGCGAUACGGGGUGAGACAGUCACAUGGGCUCCGGGAGAGAGGGGGUCUGAACGCCCGAGUUGGAGUAUCUAUGCAGACCUUCCUGAUAACAAAUAACUAGGAGGAUAAGGGGUUCCUCCUGACCUGAGGCAGAAAGACGGGAGGAACUGUCUGCUUUGCGAGGUCAGCCAAAAUCUCCCCGCCACCGGGCCCCUAGGGUUUUUAUUAUCAACUUGGGGCUAGAACUCAAAAUCAGCUCCAUCUACAGGGAAAGGUUCCUGUUGUCACCAAGGGCAUGCAUCUUUGCAUCUUCUCUCCAGGCUCCAGUCUCAACACCUGCUGAUGUUCUUUAUAGAGGAAUGGAGUCUAAGACCGAAAGAGAAAAGCUAAAAUGAGGUGGGUUGUGAUUUUCCCAGAGAGAGAAUCUUGGUAAAGGCAAAAGCCAUAAAGACAUCAUAGAGAAAAGAAUCUUGUUGAAUGCUUAGCCUUCAAGACUGACCCUGGAUCCGUGUCAGCUUAGCCCUCUGGUUCUGGGUAACUGGUAAGAAUUGCUAUUUGUGUAUAUGUCA
rnacentral:lncRNA from 1 species